GGUUCUCAGUUGGGGGCGGAGGGGGGUCCCCACCAGGGUACAUUUGGCAAGGUCUACUGACUUCAGUGGUUGUCACAAAUGGGGGGGGCAGCCCACGGAAGGAAUCGUCAGCCCCCAAAAUCUGCAGGGCCCAGAUGUAGGAACCUGGGCCACGCCAGUCCCAAGAGCAGGAAAAAGGCCCUUGGAAGCGCUCUCCCAAGAAAGCCCCGCGCAGCACCGCCCUCAAGCAGCCUCCCAGUGGGUCCCUGGCUCUCCCUCCCACCCUGGAGCCCCUCCUCCCCAGGAGGCUGGCAUCAAGCUGGGCUGGAAAUCUCCUAAGGGCCGGCCCUGGGCAAGCCCCGCCCAUCUGUCAGCAGACCCGACCCCUUACCUGCUUGCCGCCCACUCGAACCCACCCUCCAGCGGACUCUCCCCACCACCGCUAUUUCCUCAGCUCAUUUCCCAUCACAGUCCCAGGUUCUGGAAUGUUCCUUGGCUUGUGGCCAUCUUCUGAAAGUUCAGGGCUGCAGGACCACGACUGUGCAUGUGUCCCACCUCUCAGGGCUCCACAGGGGACAUUCCUGACUCUUCACAAGUCAGGUUACCCAUCCUCUGCUUGCUUGCUUUUUGAAACUAAACGCUGGCCUUUAGCUACCUGCACUGCUUUUGAUCAAACAGUUGUUCAGCAAAUUAGCCAACAACUCGCUUUCCGGUGUAGUCUGGUGUCCCUCCCUUGUGUGUGGGUGUCUGUGGGAUGGUGGUUCCCCUCUCUGCCAGACUUGCCAAUCAGCUGGAGAGUUUGAGAAGUACCGGGCGGGGCCCCACUGCCAACAGAGACAUCCGAGUCUCUGGGGACGGGGCCCAACCGUCAGUGUUUCUACCACACUGUUUCUGGAUUUCAGGUGGUUCUAACGUGCAGCCAAGACUGAGAGGAGCCCCUGUAAACAUUAGGGACACACACUGUCCCCCACCAGCCCGGCUGACCUUGAACACACUUGGGUUUUCAGGUGACACUGGCUGUAGGGAAGUAUCUUUCUUAUCUGGUGCUGGGACAUGGGCUGGGUGCAGCCUGUGUCUCCCUAAAGGUCAGGCAGAACUCCCGGCAGCCAGGACAGCACCCACCACCACCACGGCCACCCUCGCCUUGUUGCUGGCAAGAGAGGCGCCCUGGCUUAUCCCCAGAGCAUCCAUGGGGAAAGCUGGCCAGGAACUGGGAGAAGGUACAUCCUGUGGGAGGUCCUGGAAGCCCCUUUCCUUCAUCCCACUGGGAAGAGAUCAUGGGAACUGUGGGGGCUGGUGCCUGGUGGGAACUCUUCAAGAAGCUCCUGGGAGGAGACAGGAGUGUAGGCUCCAACUGCACCAUUAGCUCACUGUGUGAGCUUGGGCAAAGUGCCCUCCUCUGUAGAGGACGGUAAACAUUUCCUCAGCUGUGCAUAUGGCCAAGUAUAUAACACAUGGGCAAAGGGACCAACCCAGGCAGUGGAAAUGAGUAUGCUGCUCUCCCUGGGGGAAAGGACUCCUGCGUGGUACUAGAUUUGUGCUCUGAGCCCCUAGCAGCCAAAUGGGGGUGGUGAUGAUGGAACUCAGUGGGAGCCCAGGGAGUAGUGUGGCCAAGCACAGUUGUCCAUGUUGUUCACUGCAUAAGAGCCCUUAGAUGAAACGGCACAUGGGAGCUGAAACUCAGCCCUUACCCUGCUCAUCAACAUUCACCUUAGCACGUGUUAUGUCUGCUUAGAGGAGACAUGUACCUGUGUGGGCUGGUCAUGGUGCUGCUGGAAAGGCCUGCUGCUUCCCAAAUCCUGACCGCCUUUUUCCAAAUCCCUUUCCUAGGAACAGUCUUCCCACCCUCUCUGAGAGCACAGACUGGAAAGACGGCCACCCAGGAAGGACACAGGCUCUGAAAACCAUGCGAAGGGGCACGAACUGGACCAUCACCGGGGCUCGUCUGCCCGGGGCCUUGAUCCCGCCUCCUGGCCUCCCCACCUCUGCAAGCAUCUGUGCCCGGGCCUGCCCGGUUUGUGGCCUUCCGUCACAUCAGCCCGAGUGGUGAAGGGGCCGAAAGAAAAUGCCCUCAUGUCCGCCGAUGGGCAGCAAAGGGACUAGCCCGUGGCUGUGCGCCCACACCACGGGCCACCACAGACCACCCCUCAGCCCGCGGGACACUCCCAGCAGCUGGGGGUGUGUGUGUGUGGCAGUCUCAGCAACAAGGGACGCAGCUGCGGAAGUCCUUCUACCCAAUGCUUCUGACUACAUGACAUACUCCAUGACAUACUGGCAAAGCUAUGGGGACCGAAAACAGAGCUGUGCUUCUAGGAACGGGGAAGAGUGGGGACAGGGGAGUGGCAGCAAGGGAACAGGACAGAACUGUGUCAUCAUCAGAUCUGGCAAGGGACUCUUCUCACCCAAGCCCUGCAUUUCACGGGAAGCAGGAUCAGCGGGGUCAAGCCGUGGUGCUCAGGUCACACAGGGAGGCAGAGCCAGGCCCAGAGCUCCCAUCCGCAAGCACCCUGGGGCUGCGUCCGCAGAGGAGCCGUGCUUGCCGAGCGACUCUCCGCUGGGCAGAACACAGGGCAGUUGGGCGUUCUGAGCUUUGCUCCGGAGGAGCUGGGAGGUGUCGCGCUCACUCCCACUGCUGUCAACGCUUACUGUGUGGGCUUUACAGAAACCGACUUCUCAGGGGACCCUGUGCCAAGGGUGGCGUGGCAGGGCCUAGAUCUGGAAGCCAGGCCUCUUCCGGCCCUGGGCCCAAGCUCUCCCGGCCACCCCCGGCUUUGUUGUUCCAGGCCCUUCCAGGCCCAGCAGCAUCCAGAAACGUCGGUUACGGUUACGCCACAACAGCUGCCUGGCGCCCCCUGAAUGCCUCAGAUGUGGUCCGCGGCGGGAGCCCCGAGCCAACAUGCUGCCACUAGGUGAAUCGGGCCUGCCAUUAGAGUCACAAAGACCAAUUAAAACGAGAGGAAAAACAGCCUCCCCAUCUCCCAGAGCACCCGGCCAGCUGCUCCCACUCCUACCUCGCCGGCCCCACGAGGCUGCUCCGGGCGUGGUUUCCAGCCUGCUCCCUCCGCACCCGGGCCACCUGCCCCUGACAGCGUCAAUAUUGAUGCCCCCCCCCCCCCGCCAGGCGCCCGCUUUGGGGGGGGGGCAAGGAGCGGGGGAAGGGCACCGGGAGACGCGAACAGCUCCCAGAUUUUCGACUCCAUUGCUGCGAGGAGAGAUGAGAAAUUGCCUUUCUGACCUAAAACCGGAGUUCACAGCUGCACUUCAUUACGGGCUCCUCCAGGCGGCCCUGGGAGAGACGCGGCUCGGGAAGGGCUCACCUGUUAGCAGCAGCUGUGCCUGCCUCUCGCACGAGCACGUUGGUGGUUUCCUGCCCUGGGCGGCACGGGGCAGGCUGCCAGCGGUGCCCCCAAAGCCCCCCUCCCCCUCCAGUUUGCACGAGCUCCGCGGUGAAGGGAGAAAGAGGCACCAGAUCAGCGAGCAGGAGGGGGAGGAAACGGCCGCAGGUCUGGGUCGCACGCUCUUUAGAAGGCACCAGAAGGCAAGGGGUGCAUGUUCCCUCUGGGGUCCCACCUCAUUUCUCCGGUCUCAUGCACCCAUCGCUGGGCAAACAUGAGCACGGCGGGCACCUAGAGCAUCUCUGGGUAUACAGUAAGUGCUCAGUAAGUGCUCUCUUCCUUCCUCCCGUGCUGCUGGCCUCUCUGUGCUUCUGAGAUGCCACCGUGCAGCAUCUGACAGUCACGGAAAGGGCACAGGCUCCAGAGGACCAGGGGCUCUCUACCCCGGCUGCACAUGAGAAUCCCAUCUGUGGAGCUUGCGGAAAGACCCAGAAGCUCGCUGCAGGACCCCUGAGGUCGAGCCCAGGUACGUUUCCAAAACUCCCGAAAGCACGGUGGGGCUGAGACGCUCAGACUUGAAUCAUUCUGACCUGAAUUUUGACGUCUGAACAUCCCUUUCUAAAGAAGGCCGCGGCCAAGGCAGGAGCAAAGGAGCCCAGAGCCGGCUGCGGAAGGAGCGCCAGGCUUCCGAGCCAGCCUCUCCAACCAUGGAGCGGCCCUGGCCUUGCCUGCCAGCUGAGCUCCUCCCUCUGCCGCGAGGACUUGCACUCAGGUCCCCAGCGCUGGGACGUGCCGGCCUCAGGGUACUGGGCUCUGCUCCCCAAGUCUGCCCCAGCGGGAGAGAGCACGUCAGCCUGGCCGUGAGAAGAGGUGUGACAGCACGCAAGUCCCUUUUCUGGAACUUUGCUGACCAUGCUGAGUGCAGACCGUUUCUGAGCUGUACCGGGGAAGCUGCGUCCCCUCCCCCUCCUCCACGGUCGGGCCUCACACCUAAAGUCCUGUCUCACUGCAUCUCAUGUGUACUGGCGAGCUCCUUAGGGUCGGGGCGGGGGGGGGGGGGACAGCAUGGCAAGCCACUCUUUGCCGUUUGCACUAUCUACAAGACGCUGUAAAAGCUCGAAGCCCCACAGAGCUUCAGCUGCCUCCUCGGGGAAGCAGGAGGACAGCCAAAACCCUGGGCUCACCGUGAAGCUGAAAUGGGGAAACAGGCACUGGGGGCAGCUGGUGGACCCCAAGCACCCCCGCGUGCUGUCCUGAGUCUUGCACACCAGUGCAGCUGGUUCCCGCAGCAGCCCAUUUUCUGGAUUGGAAAGCCAAGGUCUGUAGAAGCUGCUUGCCCAAGGUCAAGGAGUGACCUGAACUCUGAACUCGUGAGCCCGCACUCUUGGCCACUACACGCUCAUGGGGGCCUCGUUCCGGUGGCUUCUCUCACCCCACACUCUCCUGCCACAGACCCUGGUGUGGCCAGGCUGCGGGGGGUGAAGGAAGAGUCUUCUGGGGGAACAGGGCACUCCCAGGACCCUGGGCCACCGAGGGGAUGGAGGGAACUGCACAUGGCCACCGGUGUGCUCCACUGACGUCUGAGCUCAGAGCAGGCAAGGUGAGCCUGCCUUGCUUUUGUGAGGACAGAGAGAGGCCAAGGACGUGGGGUCCCAGAGAGAGGCAGAGUUGAGGACCCAGGGUGAGCAGCCCACGCAGGGCCAGGCCCUGGGAGUGGCCAACUCAUGUUGGGCUGGAAACAGAGGCCCAGUCUGGGGCACACGGAGCACCUGAUGCUUCAGGGAGGCUCCGGAAGGGGCUGCUGGCGGAAGGAAGAGGGUGCGCUAGAGCAAGCUGGAUGUCAGCAGAGAGAAAGGUCAGGUGGGCCCAGCAGAGGCCCAGGAGGGGGAGAAGCAGGACGGGCCUGGCAGCCCUCCAGGGGGCACAGGCGAGGACACCCAGGCUCGGAGAGGUGAGCUGCCGCGCACAGCGUCCCCGUCACCCCUCCCCUCUGUCUUGUCCACAUGUCUCCCAGGCUGAACUUCAGGCCACCAAGGCGGGGCACGCCAUAGGUGGUGGGCCGUCUGUGGAGGCGCCCUGCCCUGGGCCUAGCCCCCCCAACCACCGCUGCUCUUCUCACUCUUGCCCCCGCGGCCCUAGCACCUGAGCGACGAAAUGAAGAACCACCGCCAAGGCCACCAGCCACCAUGUACGUGCGCCUGCUGGGCGCCGGCUGUCAGCCCCAGAGCUUAAAGCAGCCCGUGUCCCUGGAACCUUUCAACAGCGCCUCGAGGGAAGGUCUGAUAUCAUCCCCUUUUGACAGCUGGGGAAACUGAGGCACAGAGCAUGGCAACCGCUGCCCAGGGUCUCACAGUUGGCCAGAGCCUCCACCCCGGGAGUGGUGGGUUGAAGACAGGGUGCUGGCUUCCUGGGAGAGUCGGGGUCCUUCUUGGGGGGAGCCUCCUCUCCCCUGAGCUGACCCCAAGCAGCUCCCCGCGGCAGGAUGCCAGGGCCAGGCGAGGCUCUCUGGAAGCGGCGCCCCUCGCGAUAGUGCUGUGACGGUGGCACAGACGCCAGCAGCUGAUAUUUACAUAACGCGCACCGUAUGCACGCCAGGCGCUCUUCCAAACGCUACGCACACAGCCAUUCCUCGCAGAACCUCCCAAGCCCGCCCGCUGAGCGCCAGUAUUUGCCCAUUUCACAGAUGGGGCUCUCGCAGCACAGAGAGGUUCGCGGGCCCGCCGGAGACACACAGCCAUCAGAGGUCAGCGCUGGGAGGGGAACCCGCGGGCCUGACCCCGGGGAAGCUGGGAGAGGGGCCCCCCAGUCCCGGAGAAACCCCACAGGGUGGGGGUAGCGUGGUGGGGGUAGCUGUCCAGGCCUCCAGGGCGGGGGCGGGGUGGGGUGGGGGGAGCGCUCCCUCCUGCCAGGAGGGGACCGCUGCUGGCGCGCUCCCCGCGAGGCCAGGCCUUGCAAGGGAAGCAGAAAUCUGUCGUUAACAUGGUGCCAAACCCAAAGUGGCUGCUCCCAAACGGCAAUCCAAUAAAAGCGAGACUUGUCUA